rnacentral:rRNA from 1 species
UACGUAGGGGGCAAGCGUUGUCCGGAUUCAUUGGGCGUAAAGAGCGUGUAGGCGGCCAGGUAGGUCGGUUGUGAAAACUGGAGGCUCAACCUCGAGACGUCGGUUGAAACCGCUUGGCUAGAGUCCGGAAGAGGAGAGUGGAAUUCCCGGUGUAGCGGUGAAAUGCGCAGAUAUCGGGAAGAACACCCGUGGCGAAGGCGGCGCUCUGGGCUGGAACUGACGCUGAGGAGCGAAAGCGUGGGUAGCAAACAGG